GUGAGCCUGAGGGUUAGGGGCUCCCCAGAAUCACUCCAGCUCUCCCUUCUCAAAUGGGACCUCUGAUUGCGGGGUCCUCACAAGUUACAAGGCUCUCUCACGGUCUCACAGCCAUCUUCAUCUUUGUAACGGUCCCAGAAGGUGGGAGGCAGAGGUACAGUCUUCCCCAGAUUGCAGGAGGGGAAACUGAGGACCUCUAAGAAGUCACAUCACUUCACCUAGGUGACCCAAUGCGUCAACAGAGGAGCUGGUUGGAGCCCAAGGUCCUUGGCAGCAUUUGCUCCUAGUGAUGGUCUGGAUGUUUGUGCCCCGCAAAGUUCAUAUGUGGCAGCCCUAGCCCCCAGUGUGGCUGGAUUUGGAGAUGGGGCCUCCAAUUAAGGUUAACUGAGGUCAUGGGGUGCUGCUCUCAUAGGAUGGGCGUCCUAAGGAGGGACACCAGAGAGCGAGUGCUCCUCCGCCCACCCCGGCUCUCUCCCCCGGCCCCACAGCGCACACACUGAGGAAAGGCCGUGCGAGGGCCCUGUGAGAAGGUGGCCUUCUGGAAACCGGGAAUAGAGUCCUCAUGGAACCAACACUGCCAGGACCUUCAUCGUGGACGUCCAGCCCCCAGAACUGUGAGAUAAUAAAUGUCUGUCGUUUAAGCCCCUGGCCCGUGGUGUUGUGUUACAGCAGACUGGGCAGGCUAGGAGUAUUCCACACACUAUUUCCUAAACUGUUUUUUUCAUUUGAUAGUGCACAGUAGACGUCUUUUGAGGUCCUUCUCUGUAAGGGCUACCUCAUCAUUUUUAACACCUGCAUUCAGCUUAUACCAAAUGUUUCUGAAAUCGAGGCUUUUUAUGUGCCUUCUGUCUUGGAGCAAGGACUCCCGAGAGCAGCAUCGUGAGCCUGGCUGAGGGGAGACCCAAGGACGGCCGGGACCCAGCCUCCACGCCAGGCCUACGCUGCAGAGCCCACAUCCCCGACAGCUCUGCAGGCAGACAAGUGAAGGCACUGGUCGUCCCCACCGGGGACAAGCCCCCCGUGACAGCGCCAUGUCCAGUGGGCAGGGGCUGCCUUCUCCGGUUGCUCAGGAGUGAGCAGUUCCGCUGCCCACUCUCCCCUCCCUCCACCCGCGCAUCAUUCUUGAGCUGCUGCCAUAGGAACUUGCCAGGCAGAGGGUUGGUGAAGCCUUCCCACCACUGCCUGGAUGGGCUGCAGCAGUCCCCCCGCCCGCCACCUGCUCCCCGGCACAGGCUGCACGUUAGAAUCAUGAAAUCGCUAUGUCGAAGAGAGAUCUGCACCCAGUGUUCACCGCAGCACUAUUCACAACAGCCAAGACGUGGGAACGACCUGGGUGUCCAUCGACAGAUGAAUGGAUAAAGAAAACGUGGUAUAUAUACACAAUGAAAUAUUAUUCAGCCAUAAAAAAGCAGGAAAUCCUGCCAUUUGCAAUAGCAUGGAUAAAGCUCGAGGGCAAUAUGCUAAGUUAAAUAAUCAGAGAAAGACAAAUACUGUAUGAUCUCACUUAGAUGUGGAAUCUAAAAAAGCCAAACUCAUAGAAACAGAGAGUAGACUGGCAGCUGCUAGGGGCUAGAGGAUGGGGGAAGGGAGAUGUGAGACAAAGGGAACAAACCUCCAGUUAUCAGAUGAAGGAGUCCUGGAGAUAGGAUGUCCAGCAUGGUGACCAUAGUUAACAAUACUGUAUUAUUUACUUGAAAGUUGCUAAGACAGUGUCUUAAAUGCCCUCACCACCACAACAACAAAAUAACUAUGGGAGGUGAUGGAUGUGUAAACUAAGCUUAUUGUGGUCCUCACUUUGCAGCGUAUCCAUGCACCAAAUCAUCACAUUGUACAUCUUAAACUUAUACAAUGUUAUAUGUCAAUUGUAUCUCAAUAAAGUUGGGGGGAGGGGAGGAAUCA
rnacentral:lncRNA from 1 species